rnacentral:rRNA from 1 species
ACUUUUAAUAAUAGAUCUCUUAGUUCUAGCAUUAAUAAAGAACGCAGCAAAAUGCAAUAAGUAGUGUAAAUUGUAGAAUUUAGUAAAUUAUUAAAUCUUUAAACGCAUAUUGCGCCCCUUAGUAUUCUAUAGGGCAUGCCUGUUUAAGCGUUAUUUGCGUACCCUCUAAGCUCUACUUAGUAUUAGGUGUUUAUUCUACUUAGGACUUGCCUUAAAACAAUUAGUAGCUAGUAUAUUAGCCUAGAGCGCAGCAUAUUUUGCGCCUCUUAUUAUAGUUAUUAGCAUCUAUUAAGACACUUUUUAAGCUCUUAACCUUAGAUUAGGUAGGGAUACCUACUAAACUUAAGCAUAUUAAUAAGCGGAGGAAAAGAAACUAAUAGGGAUUGCCCUAGUAAUAGCAAGUAAAGCGGCAAUAGCUUAAAUUUAAAAUCUAGCUCUUUUAGGGUCUAAGUUAUAAUUUGCAGAGGGCGCUUUAGCGUUAGUAGUAGUCCAAGUUCCUUAGAACAGGACGUUAUAGAGGGUAAGAAUCCUAUACGUGGUCGCUAGCCUUCGCUAUGUAAAGCCCCUUUAAUAAGUUAAGUUAUUUAGGAAUAUAGCUCUAAAUAGGAGGUAAAUUUCUUCUAAAGCUAAAUACUAGCUAGAGACUAAUAGCGCACAAGUAGAGUAAUUAAAAGAUAAAAAGCACUUUAGAAAGAGAGUUAAAUAGCACGUAAAAUUGUUAAAAGGGAAGCGCUUAUAGCUAGACUUGCCUAUAGUUACUUAUCUAGGCUUUUGUCUAGUGCACUCUUCUAUAGGUAGGCUAGCAUUAGUUUAGGCAGUUAGAUAAAGGUCUCUAUUACGUACCUCCCUUUAGGGAGGCCUUAUAGGGGAGACAAUAUGCAACUAGCCUAGACUAAGGUCUACACAUCUACUAGGAUGCUAGCGUAAUAGCUAUAAGUGGCCUGUCUUAAAAUAUAGACUAAGGAGUCUAACAUCUAUACAAGUAUUUAGGUGUUAAGCCUAGACGCGUAAUAAAAGUAAAUAGAGGUAGGAACCCUUUUAGGGUGCACUAUUAACUAAUCCUAAUAUCUUUGGAAGGAUUUAAGUAAGAGCAUAGCUAUUAGGACCUAAAAGAUAGUGAACUAUGCUUAAAUAGGGUAAAGCUAGAGGAAACUCUAGUAGAGGCUCGCAGCGGUUCUAACGUGCAAAUUAAUCAUUAAAUUUAGGUAUAGGGGCGAAAGACUAAUUAAACUAUCUAGUAGCUAGUUCCUACGAAAGUUUCCCUUAGGAUAGCAGUAACGUAUUUAGUUUUAUAAGGUAAAGCAAAUAAUUAGAGGCCUAGGGGUUAAAAUAACCUUUACCUAUUCUUAAACUUUAAAUAUGUAAGAAGUCCUUAUUACUUAAUUAAACGUAGACACUUAAAUAUACUGUUACUAGUGGGCUAUUUUUAGUAAGUAGAACUAGCGAUGCGGGAUAAACUAAACAUAGGGUUAAGGUGCUAGAAUACACGCUUAUUAGACACUACAAAAGGUGUUAGUUUAUCUAGAUAGCAGGACAGUAGCUAUAGAAGUUAGAAUCUACUAAGGAGUGUGUAAUAACUUACCUGCUAAAUAAACUAGCCCUAAAAAUAGAUAGCGCUUAAGCGUGUUACCUAUACCCUGCCGCUAGGGCAAGAUUUAAGCCCUAGCGAGUAGGCAGGCGUAGAGGCUUGUAACGAAGCCUUAGGGGUAACCCUAGGUAGAACAGCCUCUAGUGUAGAUCUUAGUGGUAGUAGUAAAUACUUAAAUAAGAACUUUAAGGACUAAAGUAGGGAAAGGUUCUAUGUAAAUAGUAGUUAGACACAGGUUAGUUAAUCCUAAGAGAUAGGGUAAUUCUAUUUUAAUAUUAGUGCUUACGCCGCGCCCUUAAAAGGGAAGCUAGUUAAUAUUCUAGUACCUAGAUGUAGAUUCUCCGCGGCAACGCAACUAAGAGCGGAGACCUUAGCAGGAGCCCUAAGAAGAGUUCUCUUUUCUUCUUAACAGUCUAUUACCCUAAAAUUAGUUUGUCUAGAGCUAGGGUUUAAUAGCUAGAAGAGUGCUGCACUUUUAUAGCGUUUAGUGCGCUCCUAACAAGCCUUAAAAAUCUACUUAAAGAAAUAGUUUUUACGCUAGGUCGUACUUAUAACUAUAGCAGGUCUCUAAGGUAAAAAGCCUCUAGUUAAUAGAAUAAUAUAGAUAAGGGAAGUUAGCAAAAUAGAUCUGUAACUUUAGGAAAAGGAUUAGCUCUAAGGGUUAGGUACGUUGGGCCUUAGGGAGAAGCCUCUAGCGUAGAAGGGCACUAACUGCAAGGUAGGCGCCUCUUAGCGCUGGGGUGUAGACACCCUUAGCAGGUUUUGGCCCUCAUAGCGUACGUUUAACAACUAACUUAGAACUAGUAUAGAUAAGGGGAAUCUAACUAUCUAAUUAAAAUAUAGUAUUAUAAUAGCUAGAAAGUAGUAUUAAUAUAAUAUGAUUUCUACCUAGUGCUCUAAAUAUUAAAGCAAAGAGAUUUAACUAAGCGCAGGUAAAUAGCAGGAGUAACUAUAACUCUCUUAAGGUAGCUAAAUACCUUGUUAUCUAAUUAGUAACGCGCAUAAAUAGAUUAACAAGAUUCCUACUAUCCCUAUCUACUAUCUAGCGAAACUAUAGCUAAGGGAACAGGCUUAGCUAAAUUAGCGGGGAAAGAAGACCCUAUUAAGCUUAACUCUAGUUUAACAUUGUAAAAAGAUAUAAGGGGUGUAGAAUAGGUAGGAGCUUUAGCGCUAGUGAAAUACUACUACCCUUAUUAUUUUUUUACUUAUUUAAUAAAGCAGAGCUUAGCCUUACUACCUAACUUCUAGCGUUUAAGGUUCUUUAUAGGCUAAUCUAGGUUAAAGAUAUUAUUAGGUAGAGAGUUUAGCUAGGGCAGCAUAUCUAUUAAACUAUAACGCAGGUGUCCUAAGGGGGACUUAUAGAGAAUAGAAAUCUCUAGUAGAGUAAAAGGGUAAAAGUCCCCUUAAUUUUAAUUUUUAGUGUGAAUACAAACUAUAAAAGUGUAGCCUAUUAAUCCUUUAGUCCCUUAAAAUUUAAGGCUAGAGGUGCUAGAAAAGUUACUAUAGGGAUAACUAGCUUGUGGCAGCUAAGCGUUUAUAGCGACGUUGCUUUUUAAUCCUUUAAUAUUAGCUCUUUCUAUUAUACUAAAGCAGAAUUUAGUAAGCGUUAGAUUGUUUACCCACUAAUAGGGAACGUAAGCUAGGUUUAGACUGUUGUAAGACAGGUUAGUUUUACCCUACUAAUAACCUUGCCCUAAUAGUAAUACUGCUUAGUAUAAGAGGAACUGCGGUUUUAGAUAAUUAGUUUUUGCGGCUAUCUAACUAGGUAUUACUGCAAAGCUACUAUCUACUAGAUUAUAGCUAAACAACUCUAAGUUAGAAUCUAUGCUAGAAUAGGGUGAUUUCCGCCUGCACUAGUUAGAUACAAAUAGGCCUUUAGCCUAGAACCUUACUAGAUUAGCGUUAGUAGCCCUAUUAAAGUUAGGGUUGUUAGCUAGUGUAUUGCAAUUGUACAGUACGUAGGAUUAAAUCCUUUACAGAUAACUUAGUUGUCUAGCUAGGUCGUGUAAGUAGUUAAGUAGCCUUGUUAUUAUAAGCUACUAAGCGUAAGCCUAUUGCUAGCUUAGUUAAAAUUAGGAUAUUAUGCCCUCCUUAUUUGCAAAACUGCUGCCUAAACAGCUGCUAUUAAUAGAAGGAAGAGGGCUAUAGCAAAGAAGUUAUAUAGUAAUUGCAAGAUAGAGAGGGCUAGAGCUAGGAGUAAUCCUCGUAAAAUAUACAAAAGAACAGGUUAUGUGUGUACAUACCUUAGGCAGUUAAUAUAUAGCAUAGGAAGAUUAAGAAAGGAUUUAAGAUAAUCUAUAUAGAUUUUUAGGCGGUGAUCUAUAACUUAAGAGCGUUCUAUAACUUUUUAUUUUUUAGGGGUACUAUUCUAUAACUUUAUAGCCUUCUAUACUUAAAAAUUCCUCUAGGCUAUUCUAUAACUAUAGAUUAUUUAAACCUUUAGGGUAUUCUAUUAAUAUUUAAAAAAAUCCUAUAGGCUAUUCUAUAAGCUUAGGGCGUUCUAUAACUUUAGGGCGUUCUAUAACUUUAGGGCGUUCUAUAACUUUUUAUUUUUUAGGGUUAGUGUUCUAUAACUUUAGCGCGUUCUAUACCUUUUAUUUAUUCUAUUACUUUAGUCCUUUCUAUAACUUUAGACUAUUCUAUACUAGUAGCUAUUAUAUCCUUUUUAUAAUACUUAUUAUAUUAUACUAUUAUCUAUUAUUCUUUACUAUUAAGUAUAUCCUUAUAUUUUAUAAAACCUUUUCUCUACUAGCUAGUCCUACUAUACUUUCUUUUAUAACCUACUAGUAUUAAAUAAUACCUUUAUAUUCUUCUUUUAUACUAUCUCUAUUUCUUGCCUUAUCUAUUAAGUAGAUAUAGAUAGAGCUAAUAGAUCUAUAGUUAAUAUAGAUACAGUAGUUAUAGUAGAGUAUAGAUAUUAGAGUAGAUAUCCUUAUCUAUAUAUUUACCUACUACUAAUAAAAUUCCAAGUUACUCUUAUCUAGCGAAUACAGGUUUAUAGUUUAUAUAGGGCUACGCAUGUCUACACAGUUUUAUAUACAAAAAAGUGUACCUCUAAGCUGUUUUCCACUGCACUAACCCCGCGACGCAAAAAUUAAACUAAAACCCGUUCCUAUAAUAUAUAAGGAGGGCAAAUAGAUUCUUAAAUACUAAAUGCCUAACUAACUAACUAAGGUUAAAUCUGCUGCGCGCAGUUCUUGGAUUAGGCGGUUAAACUAGCGUUGUUAGGCACUAAGGGGGCAAUUUUUGCUCGUGUCCGCAUCUAUACUCCCUAUAACUCCCUAUUAUUAGCGCUCUGCGCCUAUUUCAGCGGCAGUUAGACUAAAUUUAAAAGUUUUGGUUUUAUAAUAGCUAGCCUUGUUUCCUAGAUUUCUACCUAGUUUAGAUUCGCUCUAAUUAGUAGGUAAUCAGGGGCUUAGAGAUUGCUCUUCUACUUAACUAGGUAGGCCUAGGCCUAUAUGCUAAAGCAACCCUGCUAUUGCGCCUAGUUUUAUAGUUAGCACCUAAAGUCCUACUGUUAAAGUUUUAGUAGUAGGCAAAAUUUAGGGUCUAUAGAUAGCUAGCACUGCUAAACUAUUUAACAGAUCUUAGGGGACAGCCCUACCUAGCAUCCGCUCCUAGUAAGCGUAGUAAAGCGUAGGUUUUCUCUACUUAAGGCAUGUAUGUAGCAAGUUUAAACACGUAGAAACGCCUAUUAGGCUUUAUUGCGGACUAUUCCUUAAGAAACUUAGUAGGGGCAAUUAAAUUAGUUGCUAGUUGUAACUAGUGCCUUGUGUGCUGUUAUGCUAGUAGCUAGAAUCGCUUCUGCAAUUUCUUAUCACGUACUUUCCACCUCCUUUUAGGGGUAGUGCUUGUGCGCUUCGGCGUAUUAGGUAUCAGGAUUGUUACCUAGUUAAUUCUGCUAGUAGUUAUAUACUUGU